rnacentral:rRNA from 1 species
AUUGAACGCUGGCGGCAGGCCUAACACAUGCAAGUCGAGCGGAGCGGCGGACGGGUGAGUAAUGCCUAGGAAUCUGCCUGGUAGUGGGGGAUAAGGUCCGGCAACGGGCGCUAAUACCGCAUCCUAUCAGAUGAGCCUCGGGCGGAUUAGCUAGUUGGUGGGGUAAAGGCCUACCAGGGCGACGAUCCGUAACUGGGCUGAGAGGAUGAUCAGUCACACUGGAACUGAUACACGGUCCAGACUCCUACGGGAGGCAGCAGUGGGGAAUAUUGGACAAUGGGGGAAAGCCGGAUCCAGCCAUGCCGCGUGUGUGAAGAAGGUCUUCGGAUUGUAAAGCACUUUAAGUUGUGAGGCGUUACCAACAGAAUAAGCACCGGCUAACUUCGUGCCAGCCGCCGCGGUAAUUC